GAUAUUCAGCUGAAGAAAAGAGUUGGGUACAUUCUCGGUCAGUCAGUUGGCAGAAGAGGUAACCCACCUCAGCCUGCACGUGUGCAGAUGGCUUUGGACAAGGAGAAAUGGCACACCAACAAGCCCACUGUCAAUGCCAUCUUGCAGGCCUGGGUUGCUCCGCAGCCCAGUAUACAAGACAACGAGUCCCUCAUGUCUUCGAUUGCAGAGCAGAAGUGGAAGGGCCUGGCUUUGCAAGACUUCGGGGAACGGAAGGGCAAAGGUGUGAUCGCACUUAUGCCUUUCCACAAAGGGGAUAUCGUGUGCGAUUACCACGGGACAUACAUCAGUGAAGCAGAAGGGAAACGGAGGCCCCAGUCGGGGUAUCUGUUCUUCUUCAGGGACGAGUGUGACCGAGGUAUGUGCAUCGAUGCCACUGCAUUCCCCUGUGCCUGUCAUCCCGACAUUGAAACCUAUGGAAGGCGAAUGAACCAUUCCCGGAAAAAUCCCAACAUCAAGCCCCAGAAGUUUACAAUGAACUUCCCUGCAGGACCUCAGGAGACAAUACUUUUCAUCGCCUUGAAGGACAUCACAGUUGGUGAGGAGCUUUUAUGGGACUACGGAGUAACUCGGAAAUCUUAUGGUGGUGAAGGGGAAGACUUGGAGUGGCUGGACAGCUGACUUUGAUUUUAUCUGUUCUUUUCCUCUUCUCUUUGCUUGGGUUUUUUUAUGGAGUGAUUUUAAUCUUCCCGGAGAUGGCAGUAAUUUGUUUUAAAAAAAAAAAACAAACAGCUGUUUUUACAUUGUAUUGCCAGUCAUUUAAAUGUGGUUUGAGGGUUUGUUUUGUUUUGUUUUGCUUUAAUUUACGUAUUGAAAUAAAAAGUGUCAUGUUUCCAAACUUCACUCUGCUUCAUAUUGUAUUAUAUAGGUUCACCGUUUCGUGUUUUAUUGUCAAAGUCUUGUGUUUCCAUGUUCAGGUGUCUUGUUUUGCUUCCCCUGUGACUCCAUUUUAAUUUCUCAUCUGUGUUCCCCAUGUCAUGACG
ensembl:lncRNA